CUAAGAUGGCGGCGCCGCUGGUUGCCCGUUACUAGGGUCUUGGGGCGUUCGGAACUGGGACCAGGAGUUGCCUCGUACCUGCUGAGUCCUACACACCUUCGUUGUCUAAGUCAAGUGUGAAGUUGGCUCUAAGUUCUAGAAGAUUGUGAGAGAUUUCAUUCUGCAUCUCCUGUCCAGGUGCCAGCCUAAAACUCAACUCAUUUCAGUUGUGGCAGGAGUGCUCCCAUCCUAUUUGAAAGCAGAAAAACAGAUAAAAUUUUACAGGCCCAGCGUUGACCUUCUCAUCCAUCUUGGCUCUAUCACAGGUGAGUAGUUUCUGAGUGUUUCAGCCAAUUUGUAGGUCGGGGAAGGGCAGGUAAUGGACACACCCCUGAACCUCUCUGUUACAGAUGAUGGGGACUUCAUAGGGGACUGAUCCAGCUCUCUCCAUCCCUAUGCAUUAGUAACAUUCAACUUAGAAUUCAGUCCAUUUCAAGUGCCAGAAAUGUGAUUAAUAUUCACAGUUCCUUUCUUAUUUAGGAGAAUGAGACAUAGGCACUACCCCA
rnacentral:lncRNA from 1 species